rnacentral:tRNA from 1 species
UGUAGCCCAGUGGUAGAGCUCUUGCCUUGCCUGCGUGAGGUCCUGGGUUCAAGUCCCAGCA